AGCAGGCCCCGCCGCCGGAACCGGAGGACAGCGGCGACGGCUUCUGGAAAGGAUGGUACGGCCACUCGAUCGUCAAGAUUACCCACUGCUGUCUGUUUUGAUUUCUUCUAUAACCUGCGUGGUCCGUUUUCAUCUGCAGUUGUGCUGCGAUUUGCUGCUGCUGUCUGCUCGACACGUGCUGCUGACACAAGAGUUCGUACCGCCAACACCAGGAUAUCCUACGAUGAUCGAUCUACAUCUACUAGGAGCUGCUCAUAUACAGUUUGUUUCUAUCGUACGUAGUAUUUGUGCUGUUCGGAUCGAGAUUUGUAUGACGGUGUUCGGUGUAGAUCACUGCAUCGAAUUGUACUAUUACCUCCGUUCGGAAAUAAGUGGCGCUGUUUUAGUUUAUAAAUUGUACUCCUAUUACUAGUUAAUUUUGCAUCUUGGUUUUGGCCUCUACUGUAUCAUUGAUAUUGUUAUCUGCUGUUUUCCUGCAAAAAGAAAAUUUGUUAUCGACAGUGGUCUUCAUUUUGUUGGCUACGAAUUACACGCAACACCAGUAUAUAGGGGUGGAAAGUGGUAGCGGAUAAUCUGAAAUAUCCGAUAUUCGUAUUCGAGAAAAUGCCUAUUCGUAUCCGAAACAUCCGCAUCCGAACCAAAAUGGAAAUGGAAAUUAUCCGUAUCCGAAUUUAUUAAACAAAUAAAAAAUAAAAUAUGGUAGGAGAUUUUGACACAAAUAUGGAUAUGGAAGUGGAUAUAUCCGUAUCCGAAUAAGAUUAUGGGAGGUAAUUUUUAAAAUUCUAGGUCCAAUAUUCCAAUUAUCCAACAUAAAAGCCAAAUAAGUGGUCAAAUUUUACUCUUUAUAUGAUUAAACUUAUAAAUUAUUAUGCAUUACAAUAGUAUUUAUUCAUAAACCUAUUUAUCAUUGACUUAUUGUAUGUCACAAGUUGAUUAUUUUAGGUCACAUAGCUAUUGACUAAUUUACUUAAGCAAUAUGUUGAUAUUAUUCGUAUUCGAUCCGAAUCAAGAAAAUAUCCGAUACGUAUCCGUAUUCGAAUAAUAUUCAAGCCGCAUCCGUAUCUGAUAACAUCCGUAUUCGGAUUCGUAUUCGUUUUGAAAAUAUGAAAAUGGAAGUGGUAAGAGCACUAUCCGAUCCGCAUCCGAUCCGUUUCCACCCCUACCAGUAUACCAGGAUUCCAGGCGACAUUCAGAGGUUUCUGAUUGUCUGGUCGAAUGAUUUGGUUCAUGCUCCAGAAUUGUUUUGUGUUGUUAUUUAAUUGCAUGUGUUACUUCCGAUGAUUUGCUUGUUGCAUAUGUUGCAAUUUCUCCAAUUAGUUGUUGCAAAGGGUUAUUUUUCUGACGCAUACAGUAAUUUUUUAUACCACAUGCACGUGUUUAGAAUGAAAAAUGUUGUCUCACGACAAACAUGUUGCAUGGGGUUUUUAAUUUAAAUGGAUGGUUUUCAGAUUGUGAAUUGAGUCAACGGAAAGGCUAGGGAGCUGGCCGGUUGGGUAAAAAUUUGGCCAAGCAUUGGCUUAAGAUACGUGAUUGCAAAUUAACUUGCUCCGUGGCGGUUAUGUUCACACAAAAAAAACUUGCUCCGUGGCGGGCCAUGGUGAGUGUUGAAUGUCAACUAUGCGUGGAUCGUCAAAUUUGACCAGCUAGCUAUCUCGGGAGACACAAUGUCGGAAAUGGCAAGAAUUAUUGUCCUCAUGCAAAAGAACAUAUUGGACACUGCCUUAAAAUAUUGAACUUCACCUAUUACAGAACUCUAAACCUGACCUGUUUCAUUGGGAGGCAUGUUAUCUGAUAUUGUCUUAACACAACAUCUAGUAGUGGAGCAGUUUGCUUGAAAGAGGUUUUUUUCUUUAAUAUGUGCUAUAGCUAAGCAAGUACUACCUCCGUCUGGGUUUAUUAGUCCCCUUUGUAUUUUAUGUCCAAAUUUAACCAUAGAUUUGACUAACAAAAUAUAAGUUGUUUGUCACAAAAGUUAUAUGGUUGGAUCCAUAUUCGAAAGUCGCUUCAAUGAUACUAUCUUUGUGGUGUAUAACUUAUUUUUGAUAGUUAAAUCAAAGGUCAAAAAUUGACCCAAAAUACAAGGGGACUAAUAAAUCAGGACAGAGGUAGUAUGUAUCUACUGUUGGUUGCUUCCUCGUAAUUCGUGCAUGAGAUUAGGCAUAAAGAUUUGUUCUGUAAUUAAGAAAAGUAGAUAAUAGGAAUACAUCGGUUUUCCUAUUUCACACAAGUAAUCCCAUACCUAUGGAAAAAGAAUCGCGAAUUUGAUUAACAUGAUGACGUGAUUGGUUCAUCGUGAAAAUCUGAGAGGCCCGGUGUGGAGAAAAGGGAGGGUUGGGGGAAGAGUGCACGUAAAUUUGUAGAUCCAAGCCUCCAUUGGUUCACAAAAUUAAAAAAUGCAGGAAAGAAAAAAAACAAAAAAAAUUAUAAAAGUGUAUGUGUAAAACAGAGGAUUGAGAAACAUGGAAUUUCGCAAAAUUGGGUAUUUGGUUCAAAUGAAUAGGAAAAACACAUGAAUCCUAAUAAAUAGAGUCAAGUCAAAGUCAAACCACGUGGAAAGGUAUAAUUAACAUGUUUAUUACGCUAUUAAGAAUCUCAAUUUUGUUCUGAUGGCAUGUUGACCGGGGAUCAUCUCCAAAUCCGCUAGAUCCUGAUGUUGUCCUCUUCGUCCAGCGUGAUUGAAGAAGAAGAAGAGUGCCGCCACAAGUCGCCAUAUGCACACCACACUCCAAGACACCCGCAUACUCUGCACAAGCCGACGCUGUUGGGCCGAAGGACGCGGCCGGGAAUCGUGUCCCGCUCCGGCCAAACGGGUCCUUAGAGGCUUUGAAAAAUUCUCACGCCACGCCUAGAAUAUUUCCAAGAGUUGCUUUGAAAACAGAAGCGCGCGCGUUCAGAAGUCUGAAAUUAGGAGGAGGGAGGGAAGCGGUUUCUUGUUCUGGACAACGACGAGGAGGAACCAAAGUAGCAGCCGUCUAGUAUACGUGACGCGAUUAAUCACGCAGAUGCGACCGGCCGGCGCCCCCCUGAUUUGUAUAGUACCGAGUAAAUGAGUGCCAGCUUUGGAUUACGCGUCCAAACAAUCCUAAUUAAUCCGGCAGCACUCCACUGGCAGCAUAUGCCUCGCGGCACAUAGGAUUAUAUAAAGCGCAGGGCUCCGGCGGAAGAACACAUCUCACAAAGUUCAGAUCAGCGCGCAGUGUAGUGUUGCCAAGUAUUUCGUGGGUGGCAUCGAUCGAGGAAGAGAGACACCAUGAGCUACCCGCCGCCGGGCACCGCGUACCCUCCGCCGGGCCAGCAGCAGGCGUACCCGCCGCCGGGCAACGGUUACGGCUACCCUCCUUCGGGCCAGGAGCAGCCGCAGCAGCAGCAGCAGGCAUACCCGCCGCCGGCGUACGGCGCGCCGCCGCCCGUCGCCGCCGACUACUACCAGCCCAAGGACGGCGGCGCGUACCCGCCGCCGCAGCAGCAGGCGUACGGCGCGCCGCCGCCCGUCGCCGCCAACUACUACCCGCCGCCCCAGCAGCAGCAGGCCCCGCCGCCGCCGCCGCCGGAGGCGCAGAGCCGCGGCAGCGACGGCUUCUGGAAAGGAUGGUAAUUCACAGACCACUCGUCUAACACGACACGUACUUGCGUCGUGCAUCAUGCCUGCAUGCAUACCUAACUCCAUUACCCGUAUUAGUAACUGUCCGUCUGAUCCCUCUGCAUGUUUUGUUUGUUCUGAUCUGCGUGCAGCUGUGCCGCAAUCUGCUGCUGCUGCCUGCUCGACAUGUGCCUCUGAUCGAUGUUGCACAGGAUGAUGAUCCACAUGCAGCUGCUCGCCAUCGAUCGGAUCGUCGUUUCCUUGGCACAUCUUGGAUUUGGCUUAAUUCUGUAAUCACCAUGUCGCUCAGUUACCAUACCAAUCAGUCGAUUUGCUUUGUUGCUUCUUUCUUAGCGGAACCCCUCCCUGUAAUUUGUUGGCCAUGAAUUGGAUAUGUCAAGUUAUUUUCAGCAUCCAGUACAUUCUCCAGUUGAGUUUUUGCCAUUGCGAUCAGAGAUGAAACAAAAAAUUGCUGUUCCCCGGAUGUUCCAAAGCAACCUACGGCAAUGCCAAGGGUGCCAAAUGUCAGACACCUCUUUUGUUUGUCCAUAGGUAGAAACGGCAAAUAUAAU
rnacentral:lncRNA from 1 species